UUGUUGGUAAGGUAAAAGCUUACCAAGGCUUCGAUCAGUAGCUGGUCUGAGAGGACGGCCAGCCACACUGGGACUGAGACACGGCCCAGACUCCUACGGGAGGCAGCAGUGGGGAAUUUUGGACAAUGGGGGCAACCCUGACCCAGCCAUGCCGCGUGAGUGAAGAAGGCCUUCGGGUUGUAAAGCUCUUUCAGCCGGAACGAAACGGUUACGGUUAAUACCCGUGACUACUGACGGUACCGGAAGAAGAAGCACCGGCUAACUACGUGCCAGCAGCCGCGGUAAUACGUAGGGUGCAAGCGUUAAUCGGAAUUACUGGGCGUAAAGCGUGCGCAGGUGGUUUUGUAAGUCAGAUGUGAAAUCCCCGGGCUUAACCUGGGAACUGCGUUUGAAACUACAAGGCUAGAGUGUGGCAGAGGGGGGUGGAAUUCCGCGUGUAGCAGUGAAAUGCGUAGAUAUGUGGAGGAACACCGAUGGCGAAGGCAGCCCCCUGGGUCAACACUGACGCUCAGGCACGAAAGCAUGGGGAGCAAACAGGAUUAGAUACCCUGGUAGUCCAUGCCCUAAACGAUGUCAACUAGUUGUCGGGCCUUAACGGGCUUGGUAACGUAGCUAACGCGUGAAGUUGACCGCCUGGGGAGUACGAUCGCAAGAUUAAAACUCAAAGGAAUUGACGGGGACCCGCACAAGCGGUGGAUUAUGUGGAUUAAUUCGAUGCAACGCGAAAAACCUUACCUACCCUUGACAUGUAUCGAAGCCCGCAGAGAAGCGGGUGUGCCCGAAAGGGAACGAUAACACAGGUGCUGCAUGGCUGUCAUCAGCUCGUGUCGUGAGAUGUUGGGUUAAGUCCCGCAACGAGCGCAACCCUUGUCAUUAAUUGCCAUCAUUUAGUUGGGCACUUUAAUGAGACUGCCGG
rnacentral:rRNA from 1 species